ensembl:misc_RNA
CCAACAGCUUUAGAGAAUGAAGGCCUUAAUUAUCCACAGAAGAGGUACAGCACGGACAGCACCAGUGCAAGUUCCCUCCCUGAAUAUUUUACUUUAUUACCUGAGCUGGACUGAGCCCUUCUAGGCAUUAGAAAAUACUUCAGUCUCAGUGCUUCUGAGGUCUGCAGCCUUU